AGCGAACGCUGGCGGCAGGCCUAACACAUGCAAGUCGAACGAACUCUUCGGAGUUAGUGGCGGACGGGUGAGUAACACGUGGGAACGUGCCUUUAGGUUCGGAAUAACUCAGGGAAACUUGUGCUAAUACCGAAUGUGCCCUUCGGGGAAGAUUUAUCGCCUUUAGAGCGGCCCGCGUCUGAUUAGCUAGUUGGUGAGGUAAAGGCUCACCAAGGCGACGAUCAGUAGCUGGUCUGAGAGGAUGAUCAGCCACAUUGGGACUGAGACACGGCCCAAACUCCUACGGGAGGCAGCAGUGGGGAAUCUUGCGCAAUGGGCGAAAGCCUGACGCAGCCAUGCCGCGUGAAUGAUGAAGGUCUUAGGAUUGUAAAAUUCUUUCACCGGGGACGAUAAUGACGGUACCCGGAGAAGAAGCCCCGGCUAACUUCGUGCCAGCAGCCGCGGUAAU
rnacentral:rRNA from 1 species